UUCACCCUUUAGUUUCUCUUGUGCAAAAACUGUCAUCAAUCCACAAGUUCUCUUCCUCUUUUGUAAAUACUCUGUGGAAACUUCAAUUGCAUUCGCACAUACAGGUUGUCACUGAGACUGACUCAAAAAUCAUUACGCUUUCAACCAUCGGCCUUAGCACAAUGGUAUAUUUUCUGGAUCCCUAGAGUGUAGCAUUAGUGGCGCGAAGGAAAAUUUUAACCUUCGUCUCUAUGGUAUAAGAACGUUGAAUGAAUGUACUAUGUAAGAUGCUGUUAGUUUAAGCUUUCAUAAUUUGAAUUUAUUCUGUGUCAUGUUCACAUUGUUUUGUUUUGUUUUAGUGUUUUUUCGAGCCUGUGGGCAACAUAUUUGGGUUAUUUUUGGGCUGUGGUUUCAAGGUAUCGGGGGAAAAAAGUUAAGUUUUAUUCAAAAAGAUUGUUGGGCUCGAUGCAUAAAUCUGUCCAUUUCUUUUCACUCUUUAGUUUCUCUUCUGCAGAAACUGUUAUCAAUCUUCAGGUUCUCUUCCUCUUUUAUUAAUCUUCUGCAGGCAAUUCGCACGUAAGAGUUGUCACUAAGAUUUUCUAAAAAAUCAUAACGCUACCAACCAUUGACCUUUUAUUUCUUAAAAAUCGAUCCAACUGGAUGUAGAAGAAGCGCUGAAUCAAAGAAGUUCAUUCGGCAAAACUUA